AGAAUCAACGCUGGCGGCGUGCCUAACACAUGCAAGUCGAACGGGAAAGUGGAGCAAUCCAUGAGUAUAGUGGCGACCGGGUGAGUAACACGUGACUACCUACCCUUGAGUGGGGGAUAACCUCGGGAAACCGAGGCUAAUACCGCAUAAUAUCGAAAGAUCAAAGGAGUAAUCCGCUUUUGGAGGGGUCGCGGCUGAUUAGCUAGUUGGUAGGUA
rnacentral:rRNA from 1 species